AGAAUCAACGCUGGCGGCGUGCCUAACACAUGCAAGUCGAACGAGAAAGUGGAGCAAUCCAUGAGUAAAGUGGCGCACGGGUGAGUAACACGUGACUAACCUACCUUUUAGUGGGGGGAUAACCUAGGGAAAACCUGGGCUAAUACCGCAUAAUACCUUCGGGUCAAAGGAGCAAUUCGCUUAAGGAGGGGGUCGCGGCCGAUUAGUUAGUUGGCGGGGUAAUGGCCCACCAAGACUGUGAUCGGUAUCCGGCCUGAGAGGGCGCACGGGACACACUGGAACUGAAACACGGUCCAGACUCCUACGGGAGGCAGCAGUGGGGAAUUUUGCGCAAUGGGGGAAACCCUGACGCAGCAACGCCGCGUGGAGGAUGAAGUCCCUUGGGACGUAAACUCCUUUCGAUCGGGACGAUUAUGACGGUACCGGAGAAGAAGCCCCGGCUAACUUCGCGCCAGCAGCCGC
rnacentral:rRNA from 1 species